UUGAAGGAAUUUUCUGUAUUUGGUUUUUACAGGUGUUUUUCCGUAUUUUUUUAAUUACGCUUUGCAUUGUGGGAACAAGAAGCUCAGUCGAUUAUCGGCGCGAAAACAGUGCUAGAGCAGGCGCCAUUAUUCACAGAGAUAGUAUCGGUCAAAAUUUCAUUUUAAAGUUGUAUUUCGGGUUUGGGGAACUGUUCUUACACUUCCGUGGUAAAUUAGUUUUUGUUAAAUGUAACAAACUGUAACUUUAACUUGCUAUCUAGCUUGUUUGGCAAAUGAAUGUAGGAGCCAUCAUAUUCAACAUUUUCAGCAUACCGUCACAUCUUACUCGACGACGUGGAGGAGCUGGCAGAGCAAUUGUCAAUAAAAGAAGACCCCAUUUACGCCUUUUUUUAUUUAUUUAUUUAUUUAUUUUUUUUUAAGAGAUUAAGAUACAACUAGGUGAAGAUCUGACAUCGCAGAAUUCUUCAAGGAUAACACGCCUUUUCUGCCAAACGAGGUCUAAUUGCUGCUGCUGUACUGUACACCCCAAGCACCCCCUGUAUUCUUAUCAUGGAUGAAUGAAAUCUUAUGGAUUUGGAACGGUAUGAGGGUGAGUAACAGAUAACAGAAUUCACAUUUUUGGGUGAACUGUCCUUUUAAAUAAUAUUGUGUUCUUCUAUUGGUUAAAUGGUGUAAACGCUGGAACAUUUCACUUGACUAUUGACUGUAAGUCUAUAGCAAUUGUUAUUAAUGACAGCCCUGUCUUUGUAUUAAUUUUUUCCCCCAUGUAUUUGAAAAUAUUUUGAAUCUUGACUGUUUCACAAUGAAGUUUAUCUUUGUGUCCUCGAUUUGGUGCAACACCAAUAUUGUACAAUACUUAAUACCAAUAUUAAGUCAAGUACCUGCUCAUGUUUUCUUUUUUCUGCAUGUUGCUGUUUAAAACUAAAAAGUGUUCCACAAUACAAGCAUUUUCAGUGGUGCUUUACACAUUGUUAAAUUAAUUAAUGUAAUAAUAUUUUGGUCUUCACCUGUUUAAGGCAAAUAAAAGCUACUGAACACACUUUUAAGAAUGUUUACAUGAGGUAAAGAUAAA